UGCUGUAUGGGAACUGCUGAGUCACGGCCUGAACCACUGAUCAAGCACCUGGAGGAAAGACCCAGUCAGCCCUGGAAACACAGGUGAAGGCAGCCUUGACAAGCACAGCCUGGCUCCAUCUCUCUUAGGCCUCAUUUAAGGGCUGACUGCCACUGAGGAUGGAUCUCUUUCUAGAGAUCCCUCCUUAGUAGAAGCUUUUCUCUGUGAAUCCAGAAUCUUCAGCUACAGGAAGAUUCAGAUCAACUUCACCACAAGAAGAAAAUUCAGAUAUCUUUGGACUGCUGAGGUCUGACAUUCCCAAACCUAAACUUCCAUUUAGUGAGAAAUUCACUCACAAUCUUCACAUUCAAGUGUUUCAUCAGUUCUGAGCUGCUGACGAGGUGAGAAUAAUCAAAGGAACACAGGACACAGAAGUCAUGAAACUAUGACUUGAAUGUGAAUAUUAAAUUAUCCUCAUCUAAUCAAGAAACUGAAGGAGCAACAAAUGACUCAUGCCGAAUUGUACAACCUCCCAUUUCUGAUGGGAACAAUGAACCUUUCAAGUUUCAAGACAGCAUAUUUGCUACAUAAUGUCAAGAGUAUGUACUCCGCAGAAACCUAGUUGACUUGCUGACCAUUCACGCUCAAAAGCAGUGCUAAGAGUACUUCUUAAAAUUAGGUAUUUUUCUUGUUCUCUCAGUUCUUUAAUAAGGAUAAUUACUUCUUCCUGUAUUGUAAAUGCAGUCAGAUGCCAUAAUGAACUCUGUUGGGUAUAUACAUAGAGUUUUCUUCCAGUUAUUAAUGAUGUUUUUGAACAGUUUCUUCUUUGUAUCCCUGUAGUGGAAUUAUAAAUAGCAAACACUGUUGUGUUUUUCACUGCUGGGCUGUAUUUCAGCUGUAUGUUAUUCUUUAACCAUAUAGCUCAGGUCCCCAUCAAUUCAAGCUCUAGGAGUACGUUUGGCAAAAAGUAGUUUUCUUCAGACCAGCAGAAAAGAGGCGUAAUGUAUUCCUCCCUCAGUUUGAUCUCCUAAAUACAAACCAAGAGGCCUCUGCAUGUACUCGCAUCAGUUCAAGGAAAGUUUUUAUUGGAUUUCUGUGUUUGCCAAAACUCCUUUACUCCACACACACUAACAGGACACAGAGGCAGAUGGUAAGCUGUAAAUAAUUUUAAUUACAUCUAUCUGCACAGAGAAUUGUCUUCUCCUGUGAGCGCUCUGGAAGCUGUCAGUGCUUAGUGAUAGUGGCAUUCCCAAUAUUCGACUGUCAUUUUAAAAUAUGUCUAUUUGCCUGCAGUUGUUAUCAAGAACAAAGAUAAAGCUCAGAAGACUCUUGACAUACUUAAUUCCCACAGAAGCUGCAUAUCAUCAAUUUGAGGUCAAACAUCAAGUUAGAGGUGUUUCAUUAAAAUUUAACCUACAGUUAUAAACUCUCUCACGUGAACAGGCAAACUAGUCAAGCAGAUCACUGGGGGAGUGAUUUGGAGACAGUUAAAUCAUUGACCUGUAACCUCAGGAUGACUUUGCUAGUGAAAAAAACAGAGGGCAGAGAUUGACAGAUGUAGGGAGGAAUGUUAAUGCAAUUUUCAUAUCUGUUGGAUGAAUAACUGCAGUUCUCUUAGCUUUGUAUAUAAAAUACAGUGUAGUAUUGGUAAUACACCAAGGACAGAUUAACUCUCUUGAAAAGCUCUAGCAGUCCGUAACUUGAAUAAGAACAGCAUUUCACUGUAAGGAUUACAGAGAUUAAAGGUAUUGAGAUUAAGGUACAAGUGAAACUGCCUUUCUGUUUUUAUAGCCAGGAAUCUACAACCCACACCUUGAUGACCAUCUUGAACAGUGAUUUUUCACAGCUCCUCAACUGCAAGACCAUUACAUGUGUGCACUGUCACACAGGCCACAUAAGCUCCAGACUAGCAUUGCUUCCUUUUUAAGAUAAUAGAGUUCUGUAUCUUAUGUGAAAGCACAGGCUUUAUUGGCCAGCAACAGAAUAUUUGGCAUCCUUAGCCCCUUUUUACCUCCUCUGGUUAUCUCAUGGUUCAGUUAAAGGAAUUUCUAUUUCUCUUCAGCAAAAUGAGAUUUCAAGUUCUUUGUUUUAAUUUAUCUGUUUGCGCUGUGUCUCAAAUUAGGCCCUACAUUUCAUGUGUUGCACAUAUUUGCUUACAAGUACCACCUGGAUACAUCCUGCAAACAUCCUCAGAGACAGUCACACUGACUUUUACCUCCCUUCCCGUGUGCCAUCCACAUUGUCUGGAGCCAGUCACGUAAGGAAGAGUGAUCAUAGAGUUUCCUAAUGUGGUAUUAUUCAGGCAAGCUACUGUACCUUAAAAACUUACAUGUAAGCAAGCCUUCUGUGGAGCAGUGUCACUCACUCCGUAAUUUGCCUGCCAUGCUCUGGCAGGCCCCCAUCCACCUGGGGUCUGGGAACUAGUUGUGCCCUGACCUCAGCAACUAUGACUUGUGAGUAACAGGUCUGACGGCAUCAUGGAUGCAAACCCAUGGCCACAUGCAUUGCUUUAUUGUAAUAGUAUUUUAAAUCAAAGUAAUUUGACGCUGUAUAAUGAUUUUGUAAAAAAAAAAAUCAACUUUUUUUCCCCCACUAGCAGUGUAAUCCUCAUAACAGAUUACUAUAGAUAGCUGGCAAAAGUCAAUUUUCUGCUAGCUAUGGUCUCUAGACAUUAGAGUGCGUAGCACUGUUACACUUUUUGCCUCUUGAAACACAUCUAGAUAUUUCUAAAUAUAAAAGAAAUGUUAUCUAUUACUAUAUUUGCUUACAUCAAAAUUUGGACACUUUUUCCAUAGAGCUACUGAUAUAAGUUAUAAGUUUAGUCACAAAACCUACCAUUCUUUCACUGUGUGAAUCUGUACCUAGCAAAUAUCUACUAUGACAAAGGGCUGCAGCACCACAGCUUUAAGACAAGCAGGAAGUCCACUGCAUGAGAUGCCAGGAAAAAAGAAAAAACAAUAAAAGGAGUAACAGCCUACACAUUCUCAGAAAUGUGACCCUACAAGACAAAACAUUUUGAAAUAAAUAUAGAGAUUGCUACAAGAUAAAAAUGCUACUGUAAUCACGUUGCAGUUCUUUUCCUAUUUUUUUCUUUUUAUCAUCUGCAAGGAGAAAAAUCAAAUCAGUUUGGCAGAAAUUAGGCUGAGCAAGGUUACCUAAAGCUUCAAGUGCCCUUUGGUUCUCUAGGAUCAUUUACCCUCUAGAAAUAGUACAUAAUAAAGAGAAUGGCAGACAAAUAGAAGAAUAAAGUACAAAUGUACAUGAAAGCUGCUUGUUUGGUUGGUUUGCUUUCUUUAUGAACCUCCAGAAAGAAUUCCCUGCAAUCUUUUUGUAAAAAGGAGACAGCAGUUCCCUUUUAUUUGUGUAUUUCCAUAACAAUACCUUAACAACGUUCUUAGGGGAACUGAGUUGCUGCUCCCAGCAGAAGAGCACUGUGUACAAAAGCAUAAUGGUCCUCAACUUUUCAAAUUGAAAAUGAUGACACAAGCUCCAACAAUGAUUUUGAGUCACUUACUCUAAGGUUCCCUAGGGAAAACAAGCAGUUUGCAAAUUUAUUUCAUUAAUUAAACUAGAAACGUCUGCGUCCGUACUGCUGGGUGGAUUGCCAAGAUUCAGUGCUCUUUUGUCAGCUACCUGACCUGCCAUUGAUGUCAGUUGCAGGAAUUAGCCUGCCAACAAAAUCAUAGGGCAAGGGAUACGGUGCCAGAGACGCACCAUGCUUACACUCUUUUUUUGUUGUCUGGAACAAGAAAAAAAGAUUUUAAGUGUAUUAAAUGCGUCUUUUAAAUGUAUUUAAUGUGUUUUUUCUUCCUUGUCUUACAGACUACCACUGCAAAUAUCACCAGUCUACACAUAAUAAUUUUCCAUAAUAUCAAAGUUCAAAUUGUGAAACACUAUAAUGUCAGAAUUUACAGCAAGGAUGUCAGAUUCUUUGUCUGCAACAUUAAGGAGA